ACAUAUCAUAAACAGCCAAUCAGAAACCAGCACUACUCAAAUAGAACUCCCGUGAGGUCACACAUGUGAUGUCAUAACCAUUGUCAUCAGUGAGGGGCUAAACUGUAGGAACCUAGGAAUACACAUUCAUACCCGCCUGUGACUGAUGCACACCUUCCAGGCUGUGGGGCAGCACAUACACGGACACAUUGGCCCAAAUUCUAGAGGUAACCUCCUUUAGUAUGCCCAGAGGAAGGGCAGUACAGUAGCCAUGGAUUCCCUACAGGUUUCCUCCCCUCUGGAGGUUUUUCCUGUCCUGAGUUAGUUACUGUACGCUCUUUGUGAGUGAUGGAGGUUACAUAAAAUCCCUACACAAACAGUUUUGUAAAUUAUAAAUAAAGUUCCCUUUGUUUAAACUGUUCUUUGACUUGUUCGACUC